GUUCGAGUAGCUCAGUGGUAGAGCGAAUGACUGAAAAUCAUUAGGUCGGUGGUUCGAUUCCACUCUCGGGCA
rnacentral:tRNA from 1 species